GAUGAACGCUGGCGGCGUGCCUAAUACAUGCAAGUCGAGCGAACGGACGAGAAGCUUGCUUCUCUGAUGUUAGCGGCGGACGGGUGAGUAACACGUGGAUAACCUACCUAUAAGACUGGGAUAACUUCGGGAAACCGGAGCUAAUACCGGAUGAUAUUUUGAACCGCAUGGUUCAAAAGUGAAAGACGGUCUUGCUGUCACUUAUAGAUGGAUCCGCGCUGCAUUAGCUAGUUGGUAAGGUAACGGCUUACCAAGGCAACGAUGCAUAGCCGACCUGAGAGGGUGAUCGGCCACACUGGAACUGAGACACGGUCCAGACUCCUACGGGAGGCAGCAGUAGGGAAUCUUCCGCAAUGGGCGAAAGCCUGGCGGAGCAACGCCGCGUGAGUGAUGAAGGCCUUCGGAUCGUAAAACUCUGUUAUUAGGGAAGAACAUAUGUGUAAGUAACUGUGCACAUCUUGACGGUACCUAAUCAGAAAGCCACGGCUAACUACGUG
rnacentral:rRNA from 1 species